UACGUAGGGGGCUAGCGUUGUCCGGAAUCAUUGGGCGUAAAGAGCGUGUAGGCGGUCCGGUAAGUCCGCUGUGAAAGUCGGGGGCUCAACCCUCGAAUGCCGGUGGAUACUGUCGGGCUAGAGUGCGGAAGAGGCGAGUGGAAUUCCUGGUGUAGCGGUGAAAUGCGCAGAUAUCGGGAGGAACACCAGCGGCGAAGGCGGCUCUCUGGGCUGGUACUGACGCUGAGGAGCGAAAGCGUGGGGAGCAAACAGG
rnacentral:rRNA from 1 species